CCUUCAACAUCCUCUGGACCAGGUCCUCGGUCUUAUAGGGCAGCUGGUUCAACCUGAUCAACACAGACAGACUAAUGGAGGACUACAGGAAGACCUGGUCCAACCUAACCCAGAUCAACACAGAUUGUGAAACAAUGUCUGCACCAACAGUCCUGCUCCAACCAAGCGGCCCCCCGGCGUUCAGUUCACGGAUCAGCAGGAACGAUCCGAUUGGAGCAUUUGCUCGGUGACGGCUCACCGAUACGAACAGCUUCUUAUCACACUUUAUAAAGACGUCCAAUAAAACCAGAUCUGCAACAACAUCUGGAUGACCGUCGCUCCCGUGCAGUGUUCAUUAAUCACGACAUGCAAACAUCACGUGAGCUGGAGGUCGGCUGUCGCCAUGGCGACCACUACAAAACAGCACGAGUGCGCUGGAAACAGAAAUAACCUCUCGCGGCUCCGUCUAUCAUCUGAGAACCGGCUGCGUUUAUCGUCAGUACCUUUCUGUUAUUGUGGUGAUUUAAUAAAGUUAUUCUAAAGAAUUAA